CCAGACUCCUACGGGAGGCAGCAGUAGGGAAUCUUCGGCAAUGGGGGCAACCCUGACCGAGCAACGCCGCGUGAGUGAAGAAGGUUUUCGGAUCGUAAAGCUCUGUUGUAAGAGAAGAACGUGUGUGAGAGUGGAAAGUUCACACAGUGACGGUAACUUACCAGAAAGGGACGGCUAACUACGUGCCAGCAGCCGCGGUAAUACGUAGGUCCCGAGCGUUAUCCGGAUUUAUUGGGCGUAAAGCGAGCGCAGGCGGUUGGAUAAGUCUGAAGUUAAAGGCUGUGGCUCAACCAUAGUAUGCUUUGGAAACUGUUCAACUUGAGUGCAGAAGGGGAGAGUGGAAUUCCAUGUGUAGCGGUGGAAUGCGUAGAUAUAUGGAGGAACACCGGUGGCGAAAGCGGCUCUCUGGUCUGUAACUGACGCUGAGGCUCGAAAGCGUGGGUAGCGAACAGGAUUAGAUACCCUAGUAA
rnacentral:rRNA from 1 species